GCGGCAACAACUCAAUAGCGCAACUCAACACAUUACCCGGGACCAUGCAGAAAACAUUCAGAAUAGGGAUUCGCAAGGAAACAUUUGUGAAGGAGAGGAGCAAAUUUUCUUUAAGGAAGCAGGAAAAUGUGUUCGUAAAAGAAACAGAAUCGCGAGUAAUGAUUAGCGUCUAAGUUAGAAAAGAAAAUUCGUCAUUAGUCUUUUCAUGUUCAGAAGUGUAUUAAUGUUUGGUCAAAAUUUAUUUUUUAAAACGAAUUCUCAAUCAGUAGGUAUCAUGAUAGUAACUGAAAAUGUCACUGAAACACCCUUCAAGAAAACAGAAUAGGAAACCUUUCAAAUGAACAUUCAAGAAAAUCUUGCUAAACAUCUGCAAAACACAAUAAGGAAUUCGAAAAAUGUCCCACAUACCACAUGUAAAACACUUAAAAAAUUAUAGAUAUUACGACUCGAUUAUCGAGAUUACCAAGAACUCAUUACGAGGAGCCAAGGAAUGAAGGAAAGUACAAGAUGACAGUAGCAAACACGCAAUCCUAACCAAAAGGACAACAAAGUAAAGCACAGUUAAAACGUGAAAUUGACAGAUUCCAACAAACUUGCUAGAUUUUCGCCUUCAGAGCUAAAACGAGCUAAAACAAGAAAGAAAGACAAGGAAGUCAAUUUUGAUCAAAGUAUAAAAAAUUAUACUUAUUACGUGUAGCUACUUUCCAGGUUCAAAUUGGGGCUGCAGCCAAAGAAAGAAGGAAUGCAAGAAGAUGAUAGUAGCAAAAACGCCAUCUUAACCGUAAGGACAAUAUAAUAAAACACAGAAGAUAUAACGGGAAAUUGGCAGAUUCCAGCAGAAUCCUUAGACUCUAGUCUUAAAGACACUACAGAAAGUCAAGUGAAACAAUUGUGACAAUACGAAAUUGCUCAUGUUCUGGGUCAAUUAUCCAGGUUGAAAUUGGGCUGGACAAAAAGUAGCAAAGCAAGAAGAUGAUAGUAACAAACACGCCAUAAGGACAAUAUAGAAAAACACAGAAGUUAAAACAUGGAAUUGAAAGUUUCUGGUACUCCCAAAUUGAAUUAAUUACUGAAAAAAGCUGCAAUCUUCAGCUACAAACUCAUCAACGCUCUCCAGCCUGGUAAAUCUGUAUUCUUUUUCUUUAGCCUCUUCCAAUGAUUUCCUAGUCGACUUUUGCUGGGCGGUUUGAAUCCAGUUUCUUCCUGCAUGUCGUUGGAUGUCGUCUCUCCAUCUCGCCUGCGGACGACCGAGUCUACUUUUUGAUAUUCUUGAACGCCACUGUAUUAGUUCUUUGGUCCAUUUCUGAUUGUUCCUGCCCAAAGCCACUUUGAACUCGCUUUUUGCCGGACAACAUCCCAAACUCUUGUUUUUAUCUAAUCUCCUCACUUCUGAUCGUGCCUCUUAGGCUCACUCCGAGCGCUGCUCUCUUCAUUGCUCUUUCACAGACGAUUGGUACUGCCUACGGCUGGAAGGAUGUGACCAAGAUUUCCAAAUGCCAUCCAGAUGAGUUUGAUUCCUUUGGUGAUCUCUGAUGUCUGAUUUCCCUUUUCAAGUUGGAUACUGUGUCCCAGGUAUGUACUGCUUGACCACUUCCGAAUCAUAAUAAUCGACAGAGACAUUUAUAGUUUCAGGGCUCAU
rnacentral:lncRNA from 1 species